CUUUUGGCUCUGGGUGAGCGAGGCACAGGCCCAAGCUCUGCUUUCAGCUGCAUUCUCCUGUAGGAGUGGAAGCAGUCAGUCUCAGAGCUGCACUCUCACUCAUCUGACUUCUGGCUCCUCGGAGGCUCAUGCCAUCUGGCCCUACCCUUCCCCACUCAGCUCUGGUCAUCUAGAACCCUAUCUGGCUUUUUUGUUGUUUUUGUUUGUUUGUUUGUUUGUUUUGAGACAGGAUCUCACUCUUGCCCAGGCUGGAGUGCAAUGGUGCAGUCACAGCUCACUGCAGCCUCGACCUUCCAGGUUCAAGCCGUCUUCCCACCUCAGCCUCCCAAGGAGCUGGAACCACAAUGGACUCGUAACGCACGUGACCUUACCUAUCAUUGGAGAUGGCUCACACUCCUUAACCCUGCCCCUUUGUCUUGUAUCCAAUAAAUAUCAGUGCAGCCUGGCAUUCGGGGCCACUACCGGUCUCCACAUCUUGGUGGUAGUGGUCCCCAGGCCCAGCUGUCUUUUCUUUUA